AAGCAAAAGUCGGCUACAAGCCUUCCUGACUCGGCUUGACCCAGCUUGACACGGCUAGUGCUAAGUUAAGCUCCAAAUUAGACGUCUUCUGUAUAGCUUAUAUGUCUAGUCUUGAAGACUUCUGCUGUAAGACCUGGUGGAGACGUACAGGCUCUGGUACACGUUUUUAAAGUCAAUCUCCAAGUCUUGCAAGCAAAACUUGCGCACAUUUUUACUACCAGCUUGCAACGAUUCCUUCGACAGCACCAUCAGUGGAAUGAUUACAUCGUUAUGGUAUCGUCAUAUAACAGCUCUCCGCACAAAACAGUGUAUUACCAGCGUACUGCAAGGUUUAUGCUCGAGUCGAUUUCGCAUAGGCCGCUAGUUAGACGGUUACAGCGCGCGUACCAAGUAUCAGCCAUUGAGGAAGGUACCUUCCUCCAUGGCCAAUUCAAACCUACCGCGUCAGCUCAAACUGAAAGCCGCGCCAUAGUUUCGUGUGCCCGUGAUGGCAAUACAACAAAACCUUUCAAUAAAAUGUGUGCCGUUAUUACACAAUUCGUAAAAGCUUUAAUAAAACAUUUUGAACGAAGUUUCACAGGCUAGUAUAACAUGGUGCGGCACAACAGUUGGUGCGCUACUAUGGCUUGGCCGCUUCCAACGCUAGCUCCCGCGCCUGCCAUGCUGCCGUUGCCGUGCAUUGUCUCCGUUCGCGCUUGCAGUGUCGCGCAUGGCCGCGCGCCCGCACUUUGCAAAGAAUUCAACGGGUCGCUUUCGUGCGCACAUCGCAUUCUCUGUGUGUUCCUGCGUUGAUGGCUCAGCUUCGUUUUGGUGCUUUCAGACAUUCACGUACUAAUCACAGACAUGGGAAGACUAUAAGACGUCAAGAUGAAAGGCUCCUAGCAGCUCUCAGUGUUCCCAACGAAACUGGCAGAAUGGCAGUGGCUGAUUACAAGCUGCCUUUGGUGAACAAAAAAAAACGUGACCACAUUAGAAUCCGAGCAGAGCUCCAAUCCUGCAUUCUGAUGACACCUUACACAACGGCUCUCUCUUAUGGGGAGCUGGUACUUAAGAAGCUUUACUGCGGGCAUCCUACCCACUAUUUUCAGACUGUUUUGGUGGAAACUUAAGCUAGACUCUAGGCCAGCGGCGGAAAAAGAGCUUCAGGGACGUGCAUGUCUACAGUGUCAUGGAAGAUGCAUCAAAGGAUACUGGGCCUGCCGCCAGCUGACAUGCCUUUCUUCCUCCUUAGUUCUUUAUAAGAUAUGGGUUCAGUUUUUCUAGACAUGCAAUCCAUAAUAUAUGCAGUCUAGUCAAUCAGUGCACGGCAUUACAUGCCAUUCAUUUCCUAUGUAUAUAUUUAGUCAGAAUCAAAGCAGGACAAGCACAUGUACAUAAUUUGCAAGAAUAAAAUUUUGUUUUUUGCUAAUUUUGCUGCCUCUUUAACAUUGUUAUGAAAUGCUGGCUACAGAAGAGGCAUUUUACAAGAUGUCUUUUCAAUGUGCCUCAUUCAACACCCUUGUGUGCUGCAUGAAUUUUGCUUGUGUUAGCAGUAUACCCAAAUUAAUUGUGCGCUAAUGCAGAUCACUGGUACUGCUAUUGUUUUCUUGGAACCAGUGGUGCGAUUCAGGAUUUCUAGGAAAUGUACAUAUAUUGAAUGCGACUGGCUUUAACUUCAAAAUAAAAAUACGCAAAGCUACUAAGCUGAAAAAAUUUCAGUAUUAUGUGCUAAAUGCAUGCUUUUCCAAAGGCAUAAAUAUUAAAGGCUGCAUAGAUUCCAUAGUUUGGUAAUGAAAUCUGUCAAGGUAUAGUGAGAGCCCAUCUGUGACAUGCAAACAUGUAUACAUACAU